rnacentral:rRNA from 1 species
UACGUAGGGGGCUAGCGUUGUCCGGAAUCAUUGGGCGUAAAGAGCGCGUAGGCGGCCAGAUAAGUCCGGUGUGAAAGUCACAGGCUCAACCUGUGAAUGCCGCUGGAAACUGUCUGGCUUGAGUUUGGGAGAGGGACGCGGAAUUCCAGGUGUAGCGGUGAAAUGCGUAGAUAUCUGGAGGAACACCGGUGGCGAAGGCGGCGUCCUGGACCAACACUGACACUGAGGAGCGAAAGCCAGGGGAGCAAACGGG